ensembl:snRNA U6 U6 spliceosomal RNA
GUGCUUGCUUCAGUAUCAUAUAUAUUAAAAACUGGAAUGAUACAGAGAUUAGGAUGGCUCCUGUGCAAGGAUGACAUGCAAAUUUGUGAAGUGUUCAUUUUAUUA